UCUAGAGAUAGAGCCUUCCCCUUCGGGGGACAAAGUGACAGGUGGUGCAUGGUUGUCGUCAGCUCGUGUCGUGAGAUGUUGGGUUAAGUCCCGCAACGAGCGCAACCCUUAAGCUUAGUUGCCAGCAUUAAGUUGGGCACUCUAAGUUGACUGCCGGUGACAAACCGGAGGAAGGUGGGGAUGACGUCAAAUCAUCAUGCCCCUUAUGAUUUGGGCUACACACGUGCUACAAUGGACAAUACAAAGGGCAGCUAAACCGCGAGGUCAUGCAAAUCCCAUAAAGUUGUUCUCAGUUCGGAUUGUAGUCUGCAACUCGACUACAUGAAGCUGGAAUCGCUAGUAAUCGUAGAUCAGCAUGCUACGGUGAAUACGUUCCCGGGUCUUGUACACACCGCCCGUCACACCACGAGAGUUUGUAACACCCGAAGCCGGUGGAGUAACCAUUUAUGGAGCUAGCCGUCGGAGGUGGGACAAAUGAUUGGGGUGAAGUCGUAACAAGGUAG
rnacentral:rRNA from 1 species